rnacentral:rRNA from 1 species
AGUCAGAGGUGAAAUCCUACAGCUCAACUGUAGAAUUGCCUUUGAUACUGAAAGACUUGAGUUAUUGUGAAGUAGUUAGAAUGUGUGGUGUAGCGGUGAAAUGCAUAGAUAUCACACAGAAUACCGAUUGCGAAGGCAGAUUACUAACAAUAUACUGACGCUGAGGGACGAAAGCGUGGGUAGCGAACAGGAUUAGAUACCCUGGUAGUCCACGCCGUAAACGAUGGAUACUAGCUGUUCGACCAACAUUGGUUGGUUGAGUGGCUAAGCGAAAGUGAUAAGUAUCCCACCUGGGGAGUACGGUCGCAAGACUGAAACUCAAAGGAAUUGACGGGGGCCCGCACAAGCGGUGGAGCAUGUGGUUUAAUUCGAUGAUACGCGAGGAACCUUACCAGGGCUUAAAUGUACGUUGCAUGAUUUAGAGAUAGAUCUUUCUUCGGACUACUUACAAGGUGCUGCAUGGUUGUCGUCAGCUCGUGCCGUGAGGUGUCAGGUUAAGUCCUAUAACGAGCGCAACCCCUGUCGUUAGUUGCCAGCAAGUAAAGUUGGGCACUCUAGCGAGACUGCCAGUGCAAACUGUGAGGAAGGUGGGGAUGACGUCAAAUCAUCACGGCCCUUACGUCCUGGGCUACACACGUGCUACAAUGGUCGGUACAGAGAGCAGCCACUACGCGAGUA